rnacentral:rRNA from 1 species
AACGAACGCUGGCGGCAUGCCUAACACAUGCAAGUCGAACGAGACCUUCGGGUCUAGUGGCGCACGGGUGCGUAACGCGUGGGAACCUGCCCUUAGGUUCGGAAUACCUCCCCGAAAGGGGUGCUAAUACCGGAUAAUGUCUUCGGACCAACGAUUUAUCGCCUUUGGAUGGGCCCGCGUUGGAUUAGCUAGUUGGUAGGGUAAAAGCCUACCAAGGCGACGAUCCAUAGCUGGUCUGGGAGGAUGAUCAGCCACACUGGGACUGAGACACGGCCCAGACUCCUACGGGAGGCAGCAGUGGGGAAUAUUGGACAAUGGGCGAAAGCCUGAUCCAGCAAUGCCGCGUGAGUGAUGAAGGCCUUAGGGUUGUAAAGCUCUUUUACCCGGGAUGAUAAUGACAGUACCGGGAGAAUAAGCUCCGGCUAACUCCGUG